CAGUAGGGUGCCAUCAAGAGGUGUAUU
rnacentral:rRNA from 1 species